CAGUCGCCACGGUAACACGUAGGGUGCGAGCGUUAAUCGGAAUUACUGGGCGUAAAGCGUGCGUAGGUGGUGGUUUAAGUCCGUUGUGAAAGCCCUGGGCUCAACCUGGGAAUUGCAGUGGAUACUGGGUCUCUAGAGUGUGGUAGAGGAUAGUGGAAUUUCCGGUGUAGCAGUGAAAUGCGUAGAGAUCGGAAGGAACAUCUGUGGCGAAGGCGACUAUCUGGGCCAACACUGACACUGAGGCACGAAAGCGUGGGGAGCAAACAGGAUUAGAUACCCCUGUAGUCCCUGUCUCUUAUAC
rnacentral:rRNA from 1 species